UUAUGGUCAUAUCACAUUGAAACAUCAGUUCCCGUAUGAUCACCAAAGUUAAGCAACAUCAGGCCUGGUCUGUACAUAGAUGAAUGACUAUUUGGGAAUACCAGGU